CCAUCCUCCUCUCCCCAUCGAUCACCCAGGGAGUCUGAGGCAGGCUGCGGCAGAACUUGUUGUACCUCCCUGAUCGGUGGGAACACGGGACAGAGACAUGAAGACACUGGAUGUCCUGAGGGGUGCAGCUGCCGCUCUGCUCUGACGGUGGACAGGGAGCUUUGACCACAGCCAUGCGGGUAAACACCGACUGUAGAAAAAAGGAAAAGCAUCGUAGAUGAAGAGGCUAAACACAGCAUCAGUGAAGUACAGAAACUGGACUCUGGCAUCAGUGGACCAGAAGAUAAAGGGGACCUAUUAUGCAAAAUUAACUUUUUUAUGUUUUUUA